AUGCUUGUGUCGCAGGGCAUCAAGAUGAAGGAGAUCACGACGACGAAGAAGCCAUCGGUUGUCGUCAAUGCUGGCGAGACCGACGAGGAGGUGAUGGCGAGGUUUGCUCGGGAGCAUCCAGAGUACGUCCAGGCCGAGCUGGAGUACUACUGGAAGCGUGAGGCGGACCAGAAGAAGAAGGAGGAUGAGGCCGGUCCCUCGACGGUGAUCCCCAUCGAGUCCUGUUAUGAGGAGGACUGGGCAGACUUCUCGGAGGAGGAGGAGGAGGAGGAGGAGGGGUGCGACGACCCGGAGAAGGAGGAGUUUUGGGUGCAGUUCGGCAGCUCCGGCGAUGAGGAGUAG
rnacentral:rRNA from 1 species